rnacentral:rRNA from 1 species
AGUAACGCGUGGGUAACCUGCCUCAUACAGGGGGAUAACAGUUAAGAAAUGACUGCUAAUACCGCAUAAGCGCACAGUGCUGCAUGGCACAGUGUGAAAAACUCCGGUGGUAUGAGAUGGACCCGCGUCUGAUUAGCUAGUUGGUGGGGUAACGGCCUACCAAGGCGACGAUCAGUAGCCGGCCUGAGAGGGUGAACGGCCACAUUGGGACUGAGACACGGCCCAA